UAACAAGGUUUCCGUAGGUGAACCUGCGGAAGGAUCAUUAUCGAGUUUUGACUGGGUUGUAGCUGGCCUUCCGAGGCAUGUGCACGCCCUGCUCAUCCACUCUACACCUGUGCACUUACUGUGGGCUUCAGAUCGUAAAACGGGUCCCUUUACCGGGCUUGCGGAGCGUGUCUGUGCCUGCGUUUAUCACAAACUCUAUAAAGUAUCAGAAUGUGUAUUGCGAUGUAACGCAUCUAUAUACAACUUUCAGCAACGGAUCUCUUGGCUCUCGCAUCGAUGAAGAACGCAGCGAAAUGCGAUAAGUAAUGUGAAUUGCAGAAUUCAGUGAAUCAUCGAAUCUUUGAACGCACCUUGCGCUCCUUGGUAUUCCGAGGAGCAUGCCUGUUUGAGUGUCAUGAAAUCUUCAACCUGCAAGCUUUUGUGGUUUGUAGGCUUGGACUUGGAGGCUUGUCGGCCGUUGUUGGUCGGCUCCUCUUAAAUGCAUUAGCUUGGUUCCUUGCGGAUCGGCUCUCAGUGUGAUAAUGUCUACGCUGCGACCGUGAAGCGUUUGGCGAGCUUCUAACCGUCUCAGUUGGAGACAACUUUAUGACCUCUGACCUCAAAUCAGGUAGGACUACCCGCUGAACUUAAGAACGUUNUUCUNNCCCCCCUUNCUUUGUCUCCCCCUUUUUUUUUUCUC
rnacentral:rRNA from 1 species